rnacentral:pre_miRNA from 1 species
AGUGUGAUAACUGGGUCAUAUGGUGUUUUCAUGCCAAGUUUUCUGAGGAAUCUUCAUACUGCUUUCCACAGUGGUUGCACCAAUUUACAGUCCCACCAGCAAU